UACGGAGGGUGCAAGCGUUAAUCGGAAUUACUGGGCGUAAAGCGCACGCAGGUGGCUGAGUCAGUCGAUUGUGAAAGCCCUGGGCUUAACCUGGGAAUUGCAGUCGAUACUACUCAGCUAGAGUAUGGGAGAGGGUAGUGGAAUUCCCGGUGUAGCGGUGAAAUGCGUAGAUAUCUGGAGGAACACCGGUGGCGAAGGCGGCGAUCCUGGACCGGCAUUGACGCUGAGGCGCGAAAGCCAGGGGAGCAAACGGG
rnacentral:rRNA from 1 species